rnacentral:rRNA from 1 species
UACGUAGGUGGCAAGCGUUAUCCGGAAUUAUUGGGCGUAAAGCGCUCGCAGGCGGUUUCUUAAGUCUGAUGUGAAAGCCCACGGCUCAACCGUGGAGGGUCAUUGGAAACUGGGAGACUUGAGUGCAGAAGAGGAGAGUGGAAUUCCACGUGUAGCGGUGAAAUGCGUAGAGAUGUGGAGGAACACCAGUGGCGAAGGCGACUCUCUGGUCUGUAACUGACGCUGAGGAGCGAAAGCGUGGGAGC